GUAUGCAACCUACCUUAUACAGGGGAAUAGCCCGAAGAAAUUCGGAUUAAUGCUCCAUGGUUUAUCGAUAUGGCAUCGUAUUGAUAAUAAAGAUUUAUCGGUAUAAGAUGGGCAUGCGUAUCAUUAGCUAGUUGGUGUGGUAACGGCAUACCAAGGCAACGAUGAUUAGGGGUCCUGAGAGGGAGAUCCCCCACACUGGUACUGAGACACGGACCAGACUCCUACGGGAGGCAGCAGUGAGGAAUAUUGGUCAAUGGAGGCAACUCUGAACCAGCCAUGCCGCGUGCAGGAUGACGGUCCUAUGGAUUGUAAACUGCUUUUGUACAGGAAGAAACCUCCCUACGAGUAGGGACUUGACGGUACUGUAAGAAUAAGGAUCGGCUAACUCCGUGCCAGCAGCCGCGGUAAUACGGAGGAUCCGAGCGUUAUCCGGAAUUAUUGGGUUUAAAGGGUUCGUAGGCGGCUUUAUAAGUCAGUGGUGAAAUUUCCUAGCUUAACUAAGACACUGCCAUUGAUACUGCUUAACUUGAAUAGUAUGGAAGUAACUAGAAUAUGUAGUGUAGCGGUGAAAUGCUUAGAUAUUACAUGGAAUACCAAUUGCGAAGGCAGGUUACUACGUAUUUAUUGACGCUGAUGAACGAAAGCGUGGGGAGCGAACAGGAUUAGAUACCCUGGUAGUCCACGCCGUAAACGAUGGAUACUAGCUGUUCGGUUUUCGGACUGAGUGGCUAAGCGAAAGUGAUAAGUAUCCCACCUGGGGAGUACGUUCGCAAGAAUGAAACUCAAAGGAAUUGACGGGGGCCCGCACAAGCGGUGGAGCAUGUGGUUUAAUUCGAUGAUACGCGAGGAACCUUACCAGGGCUUAAAUGUAGAUUGACAGAUUUGGAAACAGAUUUUUCUUCGGACAAUUUACAAGGUGCUGCAUGGUUGUCGUCAGCUCGUGCCGUGAGGUGUCAGGUUAAGUCCUAUAACGAGCGCAACCCCUAUUGUUAGUUACCAGCGCGUUAAGGCGGGGACUCUAGCAAGACUGCCGGUGCAAACCGUGAGGAAGGUGGGGAUGACGUCAAAUCAUCACGGCCCUUACGUCCUGGGCUACACACGUGCUACAAUGGCAAGUACAGAAAGCAGCUACCUGGCAACAGGAUGCGAAUCUCCAAAGCUUGUCUCAGUUCGGAUUGGAGUCUGCAACUCGACUCUAUGAAGCUGGAAUCGCUAGUAAUCGGAUAUCAGCCAUGAUCCGGUGAAUACGUUCCCGGGCCUUGUACACACCGCCCGUCAAGCCAUGG
rnacentral:rRNA from 1 species